CCAUUCGAUUUCUUUCAAAGUUUGAUUCAUCUAUUGUAGCUUUGAACCAUAAGAAACUUUGGACAUUUGUGCUCCAAACUGAUUUUUGCAGCUUUGUGUUUAAAAAUGAGGUGUUGAAGAUAGUGAUUAAAAAUGAAGAUGAACGAAAUGAAGAGAUUGUGGGGCCAAUUUAUUCCAUUCAGAAUUUCUGAAAUAAGUUGAAGGAAAUGAAGAUGAAGAAAAUAAUUGGGUGUCUAACUUAUUCCACGUAUUCCAUUCAAAUUAAGAUAUUGGGCGUAAGCUCUAUCGGUGAUGUCGCCGUCCUUGCUCUGUAACCUCGCCGACAAACUCUAUGAGAAACACAAAAAUAUUGCUCUUGAGGGUUGAGGAGAUUAUAAAGCAGCUUGCUUGUGCUGGUGAUGGUUUUAGGUGGUAAUGCUAAUUUCUCCAAAUAGCUUGAGCAACCAUCAAUGUCACUUCAAUUCCUCUUCUCAAGUUUAAUCAAAUUUCUAUCUUCUUGAUUGUUUCAUAGUAAUUGAUGGAGUUGAUUUCAACAACAAAGACUUUCUUCUUUUCCUGUAAAUCUAAAGAUUAGUUGGCGACCGGUGAUAACCUCAAGAAGAACCACACCAAGACCAUUCAUUAGUAUUGCUUCCAUCCUCAAGAAAAGGUUAUUUGUUUCUAUAUGUUUAAAAUGACCAUUUCAUGAUUUGCAACAUGACUUUUAUGUUUUGAUCGAGACAACCAGCAGUGAUGAUACUUCAGACAAGUAAAAUCCUUGCCAUUUUAUGUUGAUUGAUUUGUUGAGAUUUUAAAUUUGUUCCUUUAUAUUUGAUAUAUCUCCAAGAAAUGAAUUGAAGCAUUUUUUUAAUCUUACUAACAUGUGACAAAAGAGAGCAAGGAGAACAUGUGAGAGCAAAUUAACAUGUGAGAGCAAAUUUUUGCUUGGUAAAAGUUAUAAGCACUGUCUUAACAUGUGAGAGC